GAAAUGCGAUAAGUAAUGUGAAUUGCAGAAUUCAGUGAAUCAUCGAAUCUUUGAACGCACAUUGCGCCCGCCAGUAUUCUGGCGGGCAUGCCUGUCCGAGCGUCAUUUCAACCAUCAAGCCCCCGGGCUUGUGUUGGGGACCUGCGACUGCCCGCAGGCCCUGAAAACCAGUGGCGGGCUCGCUGUCACACCGAGCGUAGUAGCAAUCACCUCGCUCAGGGCGUGCUGCGGGUUCCGGCCGUUAAACAGCCUUACAAAACCCAAGGUUGACCUCGGAUCAGGUAGGAAGACCCGCUGAACUUAAGC
rnacentral:misc_RNA from 1 species